AUGAACGCUGGCGGCGUGCCUAAUAUAUGCAAGUCGAGCGAACGGACGAGAAGCUUGCUUCUCUGAUGUUAGCGGCGGACGGGUGAGUAACACGUGGAUAACCUACCUAUAAGACUGGGAUAACUUCGGGAAACCGGAGCUAAUACCGGAUAAUAUUUUGAACCGCAUGGUUCAAAAGUGAAAGACGGUCUUGCUGUCACUUAUAGAUGGAUCCGCGCUGCAUUAGCUAGUUGGUAAGGUAACGGCUUACCAAGGCAACGAUGCAUAGCCGACCUGAGAGGGUGAUCGGCCACACUGGAACUGAGACACGGUCCAGACUCCUACGGGAGGCAGCAGUAGGGAAUCUUCCGCAAUGGGCGAAAGCCUGACGGAGCAACGCCGCGUGAGUGAUGAAGGUCUUCGGAUCGUAAAACUCUGUUAUUAGGGAAGAACAUAUGUGUAAGUAACUGUGCACAUCUUGACGGUACCUAAUCAGAAAGCCACGGCUAACUACGUG
rnacentral:rRNA from 1 species